rnacentral:snRNA from 1 species
UUUCUUCGGCAAGCCACAUAUAUUAUACUAAAAUUGGAACAAUACAGAGAUUAGCAUGUCCUGUACACAAGGACGGCAUGCCAAUUCAUGAAGAGUUCCAUAUUUUU